rnacentral:lncRNA from 1 species
GCUGCACCCCUGGCUGCCGCCGCGGGAAGGAGGGGAAGCGUGAGCCCAGACCAGCGCUCCGCAGGCUGCAGGCCGCAGGGCCGGGGUGCCGAGGGGUGCGCUGCGAGGAGGGCUCAGCGCCCCGCCGGGAGGGUGUUCACGAUAUUUCAAGUCCAGAAGCAAGUCAAGCAGUUUCUGAGAGUGAUCAUGGCACCAUCCAGCCAUCACUGGAGAAGUGAACCUCAGACAACCGUGUCGUCAUAGAGUGAACCCCAGGUGAAAGGAAACA